UACGAAGGGGGCUAGCGUUGUUCGGAAUCACUGGGCGUAAAGCGCGUGUAGGCGGGUCUUUAAGUCAGGGGUGAAAUGCCAAGGCUCAACCUUGGAACUGCCUUUGAUACUGGAGAUCUUGAGUCCGGGAGAGGUGAGUGGAACUGCGAGUGUAGAGGUGAAAUUCGUAGAUAUUCGCAAGAACACCAGUGGCGAAGGCGGCUCACUGGCCCGGAACUGACGCUGAGACGCGAAAGCGUGGGGAGCAAACAGG
rnacentral:rRNA from 1 species